AUCUGAGAAAGCUCAGUCGGUUGAGCACGAGACUCUUAAUCUCAGGUUUGUGGGUUCGAGCCCCACGUUGGGCA